UACGUAGGGUGCAAGCGUUAAUCGGAAUUACUGGGCGUAAAGCGUGCGCAGGCGGUUUUGUAAGUUUGUCGUGAAAUCCCCGGGCUCAACCUGGGAAUGGCGAUGAAGACUGCAAGGCUAGAAUCUGGCAGAGGGGGGUAGAAUUCCACGUGUAGCAGUGAAAUGCGUAGAGAUGUGGAGGAACACCGAUGGCGAAGGCAGCCCCCUGGGUCAAGACUGACGCUACAUGCACGAAAGGCGUGGGGAGCAAACAGG
rnacentral:rRNA from 1 species